rnacentral:rRNA from 1 species
UACGGAGGGUGCAAGCGUUAUCCGGAUUCACUGGGUGUAAAGGGUGCGUAGGUGGGCAAGUAAGUCAGUGGUGAAAUCUCCGGGCUUAACCCGGAAACUGCCAUUGAUACUAUUUGUCUUGAAUACUGUGGAGGUCAGCGGAAUAUGUCAUGUAGCGGUGAAAUGCUUAGAUAUGACAUAGAACACCAAUUGCGAAGGCAGCUGGCUACACAAAUAUUGACACUGAGGCACGAAAGCGUGGGGAUCAAACAGG